UGUGAAGAACGGAACCAGAAAUUAGUCAAUCAAGGAACCUCUAAGAGUGAUGCCGUGUGUAAAGAUGAGAGUAAUCCAAUCGUUACACCUAUAGUGGUGGGUUGCGUGAUUAUCCUUGUGCUCGUUGGAGUUGGGAUUGGGAUUUGGAUUUUUUGUUGGAGAAUGAAAAAGUACCCCACAGCCUCAGGUUCUGACAGAGAAGCAACUGGAACACAACAAAAUGAAAAUUGUGUACCCCUUGUAAAGAAUAUCAGCAUUCCCACGCCAGAAAGUAAAGUCGAUUGCGCGGAACCAACUGCAGUUUCAAACAGUGAGGAAACCAGAACACCUGAACAAAACUGACCCACAUGCAUCGUAGAAUGCCGUGGUGAUGUUUAUGAUUCAGGAAUAGAGAGUCAAAGUUCGUCAGACACUAAGUCGCCAUAUGUCCAAGACAGUACAGAUACUCUGAAAUUGACGAGACCCGUCAUCAAUGUUUGACUUGACUCAUCCUUCCAACCAACUUGUCAGAUCCAAAUUUGUUUUGAUACAGUCAGUACAGGAAGACAGAAGAGGAUUGUCAAAAUAAAUUAACAUGGAAAUACAGUAGAAUUAAAUCUCUGCUAAGCAGUGAAUCUCAACAGACACUCUUUGGCAUCACUGGGUUGAUGACAUUACCAAAGAUAUCAGCUGAACCUUGAAACAGUGAACUCACAGAAUCUGAACUAGCGAAUAUGCCAUAAAUGACCACAGCUUAUUUUAAACUUUCAAAUAUUCAACCUAUUCAAUCUGUAUGCUCUACCUAUCAAGCAUAACCAAUUGUGAGCCAUAAUUCAAAUCCGACAUGUGAACCAGCUCAACCACUAUCAUCCUGAGUGAGAAAUGCAGACCAUUAGAUCAGAGGAAAAAUAAUGAGUUGUUUGUUGGUGGUUAUUUCUGAAAAAAAAUGAUAGUUGUACAUUUGAAGACUAUAUGUCAAUAUUAACUUUUUUCAUCACCUUAAUGCACGUUUAUAGAAGGUUUGCAAUGCAAAGAUGAAUCAUCAUGAAAAUUCAGAUCUGGUGUGAAAAGAUAACAAAAUCAAUUCCAGCACAUUUGAGACAUUUGAGCAUCUGCCAACUUGCUUGACUUGAUUCUAUUACUGACAAAUUGUAAAAGAGCAGAGCAGAAGAUGAAUGAGCUACUUUUGCUCAGUGGUAAAACUCAGGCCUCUGAGUCAGAAGAUUUCCUGGACUAUCAACCCUAGCAUCUUGUCAAUCAGGAGACAAACUCUUUAAAAACUUAGCAUUAAGUGACUUCACCUGUUGAAGAAGCAGCAUUCCAAAAGCUUGAGAUUUCAACUAAACCUGUCGGACGAUAACCUAGUAUCGUGUGACUUCUGACCUUGUCCACCCCAGCAUCUCCACAUCAUAGUGUAACGAUCAUGAGUCUGUCUUUAAAAUUUAACCAUACUUUCACAAUUUUUAUAAUAGAUAAUUAUUUUCAUAACUCUUUUAAAAAUUAUGUGCAGUUAUAGUCUUCUCAUCGAAGGAAGAAUGUUCAGGCUGCAUAAUACAUCAAAAUAUAAAUGUAUAUAUCAAUGUAUAUAAAUUAUAUUGAUUUAUGCUCCAUGAACUUUAAUAACAAAUUCUAAUACUG